GUGGAGACUGCCCGGGUUAACCGGGAGGAAGUGGGAUGACGUCAAGUCAUCAUGGCCCUUACGCCUAGGGCUACACACGUACUACAAUGGUGGGUACAAAGGGCAGCGAAACCGCGAGGUCGAGCGAAUCUCAAAAAACCCAUCAUAGUCCGGAUUGCAGUCUGCAACUCGACUGCAUGAAGUUGGAAUCGCUAGUAAUCCCGGAUCAGCAUGCCGGGGUGAAUACGUUCCCGGGCCUU
rnacentral:rRNA from 1 species